UAGAUAGAUACUGGUCAGUUAGAGACAGUAGGAUAGAUAGUUACUGGUCAGUUAGAGACAGUAGGAUAGAUAGUGGUCAGUUAGAGACAGUAGGAUAGAUAGAUACUGGUCAGUUAGAGACAGUAGGAUAGAUAGUGGUCAGUUAGAGACAGUAGGAUAGAUACUGGUCAGUUAGAGACAGUAGGAUAGAUACUGGUCAGUUAGAGACAGUAGGAUAGAUAGAUACUGGUCAGUUAGAGACAGUAGGAUAGAUAGAUACUGGUCAGUUAGAGACAGUAGGAUAGAUACUGGUCAGUUAGAGACAGUAGGACAGAUAGAUACUGGUCAGUUAGAGACAGUAGGACAGAUAGAUACUGGUCAGUUAGAGACAGUAGGACAGAUACUGGUCAGUUAGAGACAGUAGGACAGAUAGAUACAGGUCAGUUAGAGACAGUAGG
ensembl:lncRNA